CUGGCUGCGGCUCCAACGCCCCUCGCGGGCGUUGGCCCAACAGCUCAAUAUCGAUUUCCAGCGGAGACGGGGUUUUCCCGCGGUCACUCUUCUGCGGGACCUGCGGGUGUUUUCUUCCUUGCGGGAGAACAGCGGAGUCCGCGCAACCUCCCGGGGCGAGAAGGAGACGAAGCGACCGCCCAGAGGUCAGGGCCUCUGCCAAUGGCUUGAAUAAAUCGUUGGCCCGAUAUAGGAUGGAAUGACCAUGCCCGCGCGUGGCUGCACUUUUCUUACCAUCCGGGGAGCUGGAACCAGCUUGUGCGAGGUGUCCGUCAUUAAGGGUGCAUGCCAAGGAGUGCUUCUAAAUGACUGGAGACCAAAGAUAAAGCAAGAGAGAGGGAGAGCAAGCAUGG